CGGUAGAUGAGGGGAAGCCGCGCCGACACGGCAACAAACAGGGAAAGAAGCCUCUGUUUAAAUCCGACCGGCA
rnacentral:tRNA from 1 species